UACGAAGGGGGCUAGCGUUGCUCGGAAUCACUGGGCGUAAAGCGCACGUAGGCGGCUUCUUAAGUCAGGGGUGAAAUCCUGGAGCUCAACUCCAGAACUGCCUUUGAUACUGAAGAUCUUGAGUUCGGGAGAGGUGAGUGGAACUGCGAGUGUAGAGGUGAAAUUCGUAGAUAUUCGCAAGAACACCAGUGGCGAAGGCGGCUCACUGGCCCGGUACUGACGCUGAGGUGCGAAAGCGUGGGGAGCAAACAGG
rnacentral:rRNA from 1 species